rnacentral:rRNA from 1 species
CGCCGUCGUCAGCUUACCCUGUGAAGGCCAAACAGUAAGCAAAAUGGGUACACCCAAAAACGUCAGGUCGAGGUGUAGCGCACGAAGUGGGAAGAAAUGGGCUACAUUUUCUAAAUACAGAAUACUACGAACAGCACCCUGAAAACAGGUGCUCGAAGGUGGAUUUAGUAGUAAAAAGCAAAUAGAGAGUCCUUUUGAAUUAGGCUCUGAGACGCGCACACACCGCCCGUCACUCUCCCCUCCUUAAACCAAAAUUUACAUAUAUAAUAACUCAACCAUAAACAUCGGGGAGGCAAGUCGUAACAUGGUAAGUGUACCGGAAGGUGCACUUGGAAUAA